rnacentral:rRNA from 1 species
AGAGCGAACGCUGGCGGCAGGCCUAAAACAUGCAAGUCGAACGCCGUAGCAAUACGGAGUGGCAGACGGGUGAGUAACACGUGGGAACAUACCCUUUGGUUCGGAACAACACAGGGAAACUUGUGCUAAUACCGGAUAAGCCCUUACGGGGAAAGAUUUAUCGCCAAAAGGAUUGGCCCGCGUCUGAUUAGCUAGUUGGUGGGUAACGCCCACAAGGCUACGAUCAGUAGCUGGUCUGAGAGGAUGAUCAGCCACACUGGGACUGAGACACGGCCCAGACUCCUACGGGAGCAGCAGUAGGAAUCUGGACAAUGGGCGCAAGCCUGAUCCAGCCAUGCCGCGUGAGUGAUGAAGGCCUUAGGGUGUAAAGCUCUUUCAGCGGGAAGAUAAUGGACGGUACCGCAAGAAGAACGCCCGAUAACCUUCGUGCCAGCAGCCGC